rnacentral:rRNA from 1 species
GAUGAACGCUGGCGGCGUGCUUAACACAUGCAAGUCGAACGAAGCACUUCGGACAGAUUCUUCGGAUGAAGUCCUUAGUGACUGAGUGGCGGACGGGUGAGUAACGCGUGGGUAACCUGCCUCAUACAGGGGGAUAACAGUUAGAAAUGGCUGCUAAUACCGCAUAAGCGCACGGUACCGCAUGGUACAGUGUGAAAAACUCCGGUGGUAUGAGAUGGACCCGCGUUGGAUUAGCUAGUUGGCAGGGUAACGGCCUACCAAGGCGACGAUCCAUAGCCGGACUGAGAGGGUGGACGGCCACAUUGGGACUGAGACACGGCCCAGACUCCUACGGGAGGCAGCAGUGGGGAAUAUUGCACAAUGGGGGAAACCCUGAUGAAGCGACGCCGCGUGAGCGAAGAAGUAUUUCGGUAUGUAAAGCUCUAUCAGCAGGGAAGAAAAUGACGGUACCUGACUAAGAAGCCCCGGCUAACUACGUGCCAGCAGCCGCCGUAACAC